rnacentral:rRNA from 1 species
GAUCCUGGCUCAGGACGAACGCUGGCGGCGUGCCUAAUACAUGCAAGUCGAGCGAAUCUUGAGGUGCUUGCACCUCUUGGUUAGCGGCGGACGGGUGAGUAACACGUGGGCAACCUGCCUGUAAGACUGGGAUAACUUCGGGAAACCGGAGCUAAUACCGGAUAAUCCUUUUCCUCUCAUGAGGGAAAGUUGAAAGUCGGUUUACGCUGACACUUACAGAUGGGCCCGCGGCGCAUUAGCUAGUUGGUGAGGUAACGGCUCACCAAGGCGACGAUGCGUAGCCGACCUGAGAGGGUGAUCGGCCACACUGGGACUGAGACACGGCCCAGACUCCUACGGGAGGCAGCAGUAGGGAAUCUUCCGCAAUGGACGAAAGUCUGACGGAGCAACGCCGCGUGAGCGAUGAAGGCCUUCGGGUCGUAAAGCUCUGUUGUUAGGGAAGAACAAGUACCGGAGUAACUGCCGGUACCUUGACGGUACCUAACCAGAAAGCCACGGCUAACUACGUGCCAGCAGCCGCGGUAAUACGUAGGUGGCAAGCGUUGUCCGGAAUUAUUGGGCGUAAAGCGCGCGCAGGCGGUCCUUUAAGUCUGAUGUGAAAGCCCACGGCUCAACCGUGGAGGGUCAUUG